ACUCCUACGGGAGGCAGCAGUAGGGAAUCUUCGGCAAUGGACGAAAGUCUGACCGAGCAACGCCGCGUGAGUGAAGAAGGUUUUCGGAUCGUAAAACUCUGUUGUUAGAGAAGAAUGUUGAUUAGAGUGGAAAAUUAAUCAAGUGACGGUAUCUAACCAGAAAGGGACGGCUAACUACGUGCCAGCAGCCGCGGUAAU
rnacentral:rRNA from 2 species